rnacentral:rRNA from 1 species
CACGUAGGCGGAUUGCUAAGUCAGGGGUGAAAUCCCUGGAGCUCAACUCCAGAACUGCCUUUGAUACUGGCGAUCUCGAGUCCGGGAGAGGUGAGUGGAACUGCGAGUGUAGAGGUGAAAUUCGUAGAUAUUCGCAAGAACACCAGUGGCGAAGGCGGCUCACUGGCCCGGUACUGACGCUGAGGUGCGAAAGCGUAGGGGAGCAAACAGGAUUAGAUACCCUGGUAGUCCACGCCGUAAACGAUGGAUGCUAGCCGUUGGUGGGUUUACUCAUCAGUGGCGCAGCUAACGCAUUAAGCAUCCCGCCUGGGGAGUACGGUCGCAAGAUUAAA